UACGGAGGGUGCGAGCGUUGUCCGGAAUCAUUGGGCGUAAAGGGCGCGUAGGUGGCGGGACAAGCGUGCGGUGAAAGCUCGGGGCUCAACCCCGAGUCGGCCGUGCGAACUGUUUUGCUGGAGCACUGUAGAGGCAGGCGGAAUUCCGGGUGUAGCGGUGAAAUGCGCAGAUAUCAGGAGGAACACCGGUGGCGAAGGCGGAUCUCUGGGCCUUACCUGACGCUGAGGAGCGAAAGCAUGGGGAGCAAACAGG
rnacentral:rRNA from 1 species